UACAGAGGUCCCAAGCGUUGUUCGGAUUCACUGGGCGUAAAGGGUGCGUAGGUGGUCGGGUAAGUCUGAGGUGAAAUCUCCGAGCCCAACUCGGAAACUGCCUUGGAUACUAUUCGGCUAGAGGGUUGGAGGGGGGACUGGAAUUCUCGGUGUAGCAGUGAAAUGCGUAGAUAUCGAGAGGAACACCAGUGGCGAAGGCGAGUCCCUGGACAACUCCUGACACUGAGGCACGAAAGCUAGGGGAGCAAACAGG
rnacentral:rRNA from 1 species